rnacentral:rRNA from 1 species
GUGGGGAAUAUUCCGCAAUGGACGAAAGUCUGACGGAGCGACGCCGCGUGAGUGAAGAAGGCCUUCGGGUCGUAAAGCUCUGUCAUCAGGGACGAACGGCCGGUGGAGUGGAAAGCCACCGGAUUGACGGUACCUGAGAAGGAAGCCACGGCUAACUACGUGCCAGCAGCCGCGGUAAUACGUAGGUGGCAAGCGUUGUCCGGAAUUAUUGGGCGUAAAGCGCGCGCAGGUGGGAUCUUAAGUCCGUUUUUAAAGUUCGGAGCUCAACUCCGUGAUGGGAUGGAAACUGGGAUUCUUGAGUACCGGAGAGGAAAGCGGAAUUCCCCAUGUAGCGGUGAAAUGCGUAGAUAUGGGGAGGAACACCAGUGGCGAAGGCGGCUUUCUGGACGGUGUCUGACACUGAGGCGCGAAAGCCAGGGGAGCGAACGGGAUUAGAAACCCCAGUAGUCC